AUAAAGGAUGAGGCCAUUUGCCUGUGCCUGGGGCAAAGGGGAGCAGAGAGAGUAAAGAAAUCCUGCAAAAUCAUGACUGCUGGGCUGCUGCGGUCAGCAGAAUAAUAGCCCCCAAAGAUGUCCACGUGCUAACGCCAGGAACCUGUAAAUGUGUUACUUCCACAGCAGGCAAAGGAGAAUUAAAGUUACGAAUCAACAGAUAAGGAAAUUCUCCUGGGUUAUGCAGGUGGGCCCAAUAUAAUCACAAAGCCCUUAAAAGUGGAAGAGAGAGGCAGAAGAGGUCAGGGUGACUGGACGUGACGAGGACUCCACCUCCCACUGCGGCUUUUACAGAAGGAUGAAGGCGGCUGUGAGCCAAGAAAUGUGAGUGGCUCCAGAAGCUAGAAAAGACACGGAAAUGGACCCUCCCCUUGAGCCUCAGGAGAAGAAUGAAAGUAGCCCUGCUGACACCUUGAUUUAGCCCACUGAGACGUACGUUGGACUUCUAACCUACAAAACUGUUGUGAAGUAGACAACUGCAUGUAAGACCUUCCAACUCAGAACUGUGUGACUGUCCAGAAAGCAGAGGAAUUUUUAGGAGGAUCUAAUGAUCUAAUGAGGAUCUAAUGACAUGACAACGUAAAAGCACUUCGAAAACAAUCUUCUUUCUGAUAGAAGAACAGCACAGUGGCCAAGACAAAGGUGGAAUCAGUGGAAAGAAGUAGAAGCCUGACAUUUAAUAAACUGGAUAAUCAGCAUAAGCUUGGUCAUUGUCGUACUUGAGCUUCAAGUGGAGUCUGAUUAAUUUGGAAACAAUGCAAUUGGGGCAAAUUCCUUCCUUAGAUUUUCAGGCAACUUUGGGUCCAAAGUUAUUAGCUGUUACGAGCAUUCCCACUGGCAAAAAGUGAGAGCAUGCCUCUGUUGACAAAGCCUAAAACAUCAUCUGUGACACCAUGAAUGUUUCAUUGCACAAUAGAGCAGGGAAUACUAGUUACCACACUUCUCCAUUUUUCAUCUCAUGUGAUGGAGCAGAAUACAUCAUGGGUCGUGGGCAAUAGCAACAUGCGUCUGUUUCUUGGCCCUCUCAGCGCCAGGACCGGAGUAAUCUAUUGCGUUAUCUUAUGGCAUUCUGGGUAUUCUUGAGCAAUAUUAGAGACUUAGACUAAGAGAAGGAGGACUCUAAGUAACCUAUUAAAGUAUCAUUUGUCUGGAAGGCUGUGAUAUGCUAAACCUGGAUCAGCAAUUAAGUUUAAUUCCUUGCUCUAUCUGUUUGGAAAUGGAACCUUUAGCAAAAGUGGAUGUGCUUUACCAACAAGUGCAUUUUUAAAGUAAUCUCCAUUGUUUAUCACUUUAUUUAUUUAUUGAGGUAACAUUGGUUUAUAACAUAAGUUUCAGGUGUACAUCAUCAUCAUCAUUAUUGUUGUUUAACACUUUAAUGGUAGAAGUCAUGGAUGAUUCUAGGCAGGUGAAUUACGCAAACAAACAUGCACAAGGAGGGGCGCAACCUUAUCAUAGUUAUAUAUGCAUUUAGGUUUAGUAGCUACUUGGGAAAUGGGAAUUUUUCUCUUGAUAAGACAAAUUAGCAAUCUGAUUUAGAGACAUUUUCUUUAAAUCAUCUGGUUGCUUUAUCUUACCAGAAACUGUGCUUUGGAUAUUCCUUUCUUUUUGUUACUUUUAUCAUUUGAUUCAAAGAGAGUAAGUAACAUUUUAAGAGCAAGCAUAGCUUACAUGGGACUCUUUCCAAAUUGUUUUACUUACAUAUUACUUUGUUUUUAAUCUUUCUUUUUAAGUAAAGGAUCUAAAAGUAUAUUCCACAAACAAAUUCAAGAAUCUGAAUAGCUGGUGAACCACUUGUUUGCCAUUUCAUAGGUACAAUUACUCUUAGUUUUACCCACAGUGAUUCAGUGUUAAAAAACGGAUAACAAAACUCAGUACUUUAUUUCUCUGUUUUAGGUUUUACUUUGACCAUGUAGCACAUGCCACCGAUUUCUAGGCAUUAGACUGAAUUUUUCAACAGUGAAUUAAUUAGCACAAAUUUUUUGUUAUAGUUGAGGGAGGGGGAGUAAAUAAAAUGGAGAGACAAGAUUAAGCAGAGUUGAGGGAAACAGGUUAUUUCAUCUUUCAAAGAUAAAGUUCUAUGGCAGGAAGCUUCUCGGUACUCAUUAGGAACACAAGCCUCCACACAUGCAUGGGAGAACGGGGAGCAAAAGGAAUUUCAAUUACUUUUUCAUGAAAUCUGACCCAGAGUGGAACAAAGAGAAUUCUAAAGCUUUUGCAUAUGGCCAUAUUUGGGGGGUUGGGGGGGACAUCAAUCUUUUUCCCCCUUCUCUGGUGUUGCUUGAACAAAAAGAAUUAUUGAAAUUGAACUUGUUCAGGUUUUUAUAAAUCAAGAUGUCAACAAAUACAAGCACUAGUCCAGUUACAAGAGACUGUAGUUUACAGAAUAAAACUAACCCUGUUUCUUUUUUUUAAGCUCUAUAAAGAACACAUUGUUUAUUCUUGUGUAGAAAAGUCAUGUAAAGAAGCUCUCUGUCAGGUACUCUAUUUUUAUUUAGUUGUUUCAUAACUCAAUUAUAAUGUUCCCCUCUGUCUAAUAAUUAGCAUACCCACAGUAAUGAAGCUUGAAAAGCUGUUCUUUUCCCCACUGUGUGUCAGUUAAACUUCCAGAUUGUUAUGGAGAAUGAGUUGUGCCUGUGUAGGUGAGUUGUCUUUCCCGCCUGCUCUGGCAGCUUGCCCCUGUGCAGUAGUUGAGGGUCAGCUCUUGGAGAAAGGCCCAGCCAGAGGCCUGAGCAGGGACUUCCUGCCAUCUGCAGCACAAGGAAAGAUGUCAGCAGGAAGCGCUCAAACGGCUCCUCUCCAGCUCUCCCAGGAUGACCAGUAUUUCCCCCAGUUCCACAACUAGGGAAAUUUAACAGUCACUUGAU
rnacentral:lncRNA from 1 species